AGAUGUCACUUGCCCUGUGGUAAGGAAGUGUAGUUGGCAGCUGGUGCAGUGGCAAGAAGAGAAAGGAGGUUCCCCAAGACAGAAAUAUCUCAGCAGACCGUGAUCAUGGGCUACAUUCUCCAUACCAGCUUCAUAGCUCCAGUGAGAAAAUAAAUUCCUGCACCCAGGAGACGUGGAGUAAGAGAUACAGCUGACCUUGACCACAUUUCUUACUUCCAAGAAGAUUGUAGCAAUAAUUCAGGAUUUCAUCCAGGAUACCUCAUCACAGCCUGGAGUGCAGUGUCAUGAGCUUGGCUCACUACAGCCUCCAUCUUCUGAGCUUAAGGAUCCUUCCCUCUCAACCUCCAGGGUAGCUGAGACUACAGGCUUUGAAUAACUCACCAGUGAAGUCAUCUUGACCUGGACAGAAAUUGAAUCCUCCCAAGAAUCCCAGGAGCUUGGAAGGGGAUCCUUCCCCAGAUGAGCCUUCCCUUGAAAUCUCUGCCAGGCAUCUGACCCAGAGAAACUGUAAGUACUGUGUAGGGCUGGGUUGGAAAGUCUAAACUAUGUAGUAAUAUAUUAUACAACAAUCGGUCAGUUAUAUGCCUGACAGUAAAUGUAAUGUGGUAUCUUGGAUUAGACCCUAGAACAGAAAAAUGACACUAGUGGAAAAGCUGGUAAAAUAUAAAGAAAAUCUUUUCCAGUUAAUAGUUUUGUACCACUGUCAAUUUCUGAGUUUUCAUAAAUAUGCUAUGGUGAUAUAAGGUGUUAACAUUUCAGGAAGCUGUAGGAUAUACGAAACUCUAUUAUCUUUACUACUUUCUAUAAAACUAAAACUAUGAUAAAAUAAAAA
ensembl:lncRNA PWRN1 Prader-Willi region non-protein coding RNA 1